ACUCCUACGGGAGGCAGCAGUGGGGAAUAUUGCACAAUGGGCGCAAGCCUGAUGCAGCCAUGCCGCGUGUAUGAAGAAGGCCUUCGGGUUGUAAAGUACUUUCAGCAGUGAGGAAGGCGGGUACGUUAAUAGCGUGCUCGUUUGACGUUAGCUGCAGAAGAAGCACCGGCUAACUCCGUGCCAGCAGCCGCGGUAAUACGGAGGGUGCGAGCGUUAAUCGGAAUUACUGGGCGUAAAGCGCAUGCAGGUGGUUUGUUAAGUCAGAUGUGAAAGCCCGGGGCUCAACCUCGGAAUUGCAUUUGAAACUGGCAGACUAGAGUACUGUAGAGGGGGGUAGAAUUUCAGGUGUAG
rnacentral:rRNA from 1 species